rnacentral:ncRNA from 1 species
AACGCUAGGGGCGCAUUCGCUGAGACGGAUCAUGAUCCGGACCCUUUCACCUGACCCGGGUAAUGCCGGCGUAGGGAAGCGAAGAGU